rnacentral:lncRNA from 1 species
GGUCGGUCGGUCUUCAAAAUGAAGAAGGAAAAAAAUAUAAACCAUGUCUGCUGCGUAUGUACAUUCACAUCCAUCUCUCCAUAUAUAUAUAUAUAUAUAUAUAUAUAUAUAUAUAUAUAUAUAUAAUUCUAUUCGUUUAUUCUUUUACUUGUUUCAGUCAUUUGACUGCGGCCAUGCUGGAGCACCGCCUUUAGACGAACAAUUCGAGCCCCAGAACUUAUUCUUUGUAAGCCUAGUACUUAUUCCGUCUAUCACUUUUGGUGAACCGCUAAGUUACGGGGACGUAAACACAAGAACAUCGGUUGUCAAGCGAUGGUGGGGGACAAACACACACACACACACAAAUAUAAACAUAUAUAUAUGUGUGUGUGUGACGGGCUUAUUUUAGAGACUAUAGUAGAAGAUACUUGCCCAAGGUGCCACGCCGUGGGACUGAACCCAGAACCAUGUGGCUGGGAAACAAGCUUCUUACCACACACUCACUCCUGUGCCUGUGUAUACAUACAUACAUACAUAUAUAUAUAUAUAUAUAUAUAUAUAUAUAUAUAUAUAUAUAUAUAUAUAUAUAUAUAUAUAUAUAUAUAUAUAUAUAUAUAUAUAUAUAUAUAUAUAUAUAUAUAUAUAUAUAUAUAUAUAUAUAUAUAUAUAUAGUGUAUAUAAUAUAUGCAUACAUACAAACAUAUAUGUACGUACCUACAUCUGCAUGUAUAUAUACAUGCAUAUAUAAAAAUAUAUACACGUGAGUACAGGACACCACAACUAGACGUAGAACUCAACGAGAAACGAAAACGGGAAAGCCAUUUUUUCACAACAGAAAAACAUAUAUAUAUAUAUAUAAAUCUUACUGUUCAUUAUUAUAUAUUACUAAAAUUUUAUAUUAGUAUUUUGUAUGGUGUAUGUCUCACAGCAUGGUUUUGGACGGGUUCUUCAUUAACUGAGUUGUGGAAUGAUGGUUCGUCUCUAAAUUAGUUAUAUACGUAUAUUAUAUAUUAUAUAUUACGAAAUUCGGUCUAGUAUUAUUAUACUGAAUUUUACCUGUAAGGCUGGAAUAAUAAUUAAUUUCCUAAUAUUAUUAUUAUGAUACUUUUAAUAUACUUAUAAUUAACGAAUAUUGUUUAGUUUUUACCUUCAAUUUUCGUUUAUUAUGGCACUUGCAGGUAAGAUAGAGCUACUACUCUGGGACUCAUCAUAGAAGGACAUACCCAUUCUGUCAAAAAGAGAAUAUAUCCUUAAACUUAUUAAUAAUAUUAAGGAUUUCAGUAAUAGAAUAAAAUAGAUAGUCCGCUAUAAUAAUAGUAACAUUGCCAACAUCAAAGAUGUGGUGAAUACCAAUUAUAUAAGCUCAAAAUUUAAAUCUAAAAGGGAACCCCCAUAUAAUAGGGAAAUUCAGACUCUGGAAGACAAAAUUUGGAAGGUGGUUAAAAACAUUGAAUUUAAAAAAUACCCAAACAGACACAACGAAUAUUUGAGAUAUUUAGCAACCAAAAUAAAAGAAAAGCGGAAUAUUGAAGGAAUCGUAGUACAAUCAGAUGAAACUGGCAACCUGUAUAAGUUAUAUACGAAAUUAUAUACUCUUUUACUCUUUUACUUGUUUCACUCAUUUGACUGCGGCCAUGCUGGAGCACCGCCUUUAAUCGAGCAACUCGACCCCGGGACUUAUUCUUUGUAAGCCCAGUACUUAUUCUAUCGGUCUCUUUUGCUGAACCGCUAAGUAACGGGGACAUAAAUACACCAGCAUCGGUUGUCAAGCAAUGCUAGUGUAUUUGUAUGUUUUGUAUGUUUGUAUGUUUUGUUUUAUGUAUGUCUUAUCAAGUAUAUACUUGCAUGUCUAGACAUGCUCGUAUAUAUUUAAAUGAUAAACUUCUGGACAGCUUUACAGAUUGUUACAGUUCCAGAGAUGGAUUGGAUCCGUCGUCUUCGAAUCAGCUUUCUCCUUUCUGGUUUUGAGAAGCCUAAUUUUUCAAGACUGGUAUGUAUGUAUGUAUGUAUGUAUGUAUGUAUGUAUGUAUGUAUGUAUGUAUGUAUGUAUGUAUGUAUGUAUGUAUGUAUGUGUGUGUGUAUGUGUGUGAGUAUGUGUGUGUGUUUGUGUGUGUGUGUGUAUGUAUGUGUGUAUGUAUGUAUGUAUGUAUGUAUGUAUGUAUUUGUGUGUGUGUAUGUGUGUGUGUGUAUAUGUAUGUAUGUAUGUAUGAUGCCAUGAUAGAUCGUUAGCCACUACACACAUUUUUUUCUCUCCUUGUUUUUUCUGUGUCCCUUUCUGUCGAAGAGCGUAGGCUCGAAACGUAAAAGACUUUUCUAUUCCUGAGCGUUAUACUAAUACAUCUGUUUGUUUUGUACACCACCUAUCUUCGUCUUUUGCUUUUUUCGUAAACUCUCCCUGUAUGUAUGUAUGUAUGUAUGUAUGUAUGUAUGUAUGUAUGUAUGUAUGUAUGUAUGUAUGUAUACCUUUACUCUUUACUCUUUUACUUGUUUCAGUCAUUUGACUGCGGCCAUGCUGGAGCAC